UAUAAUGGCGGAGGAAAAACAUCCCAAACUUAUCAUUUUCAUCCAGAGUGGGAGGAAGAUUAUUUUUUCGUUUAUUCAAAUGGCAAAUCCAUCUGCCUUAUCUGCAAUGCAAACGUGGCAUUACCGAAGAAAGGGAAUUUGGAGCGGCAUUUUAAGACGAUCCACAAGAGCUACGAUGCUAGCUUCCCGGCUAAAAGCCGGCUUGCAGCACAACAGGCCGUUUUCCCCGCGGACAAAUACCACCAGUAAGGCUGCAACCACAGCUUCUUAUCGUGCCAGCCGUGUUCUGGCAAAAAGAAAGAAAUCAUUCAAGGAUGGUGAAAUUGUGAAAGAAGCUUUCAUGGAAGCUGCAGAUGUGCUCUUUGCCGAUUUUAAAAAUCAGAAGGAGAUCGUGUCUGCAGGAUGUGCAGCUCUCAAGAAAGUCUUGUUGCACGACGAUGCGAGUUAAUGGCGGAGGAUAUUGAUCAGCAACUGAGGAAUGAUAUUGAGAUGGUACGCAGCAACGACUCGACAGACUGGAGUCAAAGGUGGACCGCAUACUACAACUACUGGUGAGGAAUCAGGCUGCUGAAGAAGCUGACUGCAUUGGAGAUAAUGCAGGCCAGACUUAAAACAAGGGAGGAGCUGGACCAAUUCAGCAAAACGCUGGAGGACCAGGAGUUUAGGAGGACAGUGGUGAAUCUGCUGAAACAGCUAUCUGGAUCAAUGCUGAGCUCCUUUGCCAGGACGAUGCUCGGUGAAAUUGGGAUGUGGCGGUUGUGGGCUGGCGUCAGCCUCAAAGGAUGGAAAGGGAAGAAAGCCUUGCAGCCUCUCACUCGCUAGAGUUUUGAAGAAAGCCUUCAGCAACAAGAUGGAAAUUUUACCAGAUGCUAUCGAUGAUGCGUUAACUGAAA